rnacentral:rRNA from 1 species
UUUUUACAAUGAAGAGUUUGAUCCUGGCUCAGGAUGAACGCUAGCUACAGGCUUAACACAUGCAAGUCGAGGGGCAGCAUGGUCUUAGCUUGCUAAGGCCGAUGGCGACCGGCGCACGGGUGAGUAACACGUAUCCAACCUGCCGUCUACUCUUGGACAGCCUUCUGAAAGGAAGAUUAAU